rnacentral:lncRNA from 1 species
AUGUUGUUACAUUUAGAAUGAUCAUCUUGGUGUUUUCUUUGUUACUUUUGUUUUCCUUUUAUUGUGUCAUUGUGUUUAUUUUUCUUGUUUUGUGGAUUUGUGGGUUUUGUGUCUUUAGUUUUCUUCGUUUUUUCUGCAGCUUGGUUUUAGUAGGCUUUUGUUUCUUUUUAUGGUUUACUUGUUGUUUUGCUUUCUUUUUAGCAUGGUCUUUUUAG